UUUCCUUCGGCAGCAAAGCCCUUUUGUUUCUCUUUCUUAAUACGCGAAUUUCAUUACAGCUUCAUUGUAUCCCAAUAAAAAGUGAUAAAAUUCAACCCGAACAUUUUGCAAAUCAUCGGAAAAUACAAAAUUGUGCGACAAAAAGAAAAAAUAUCAUCACCGUAUAAUAAAAAUUAUACUAAUUUCUAAACGAAUUAUCAGAAAAAACAAAAUGAAAUAAUAUCGAGAGAGAAAAACGAAGAAAAAUCCAUGUCGUAAAGUUUUAUCCAAUUACUUGAAAAAGUGCUGAAGAAAAUCAAACAAACUCCUACAUACUCUUACAUAAAUGAAGGAAAAAAGUUUAAGGCAUUUGCAAGUUCUUUUGUGACCAGAAAAAUAAAAAAUAAAUAAAUUUAAGAGAAAUGAAAACAUAAAAAUUAUCUCAUUUGAAUGAAUUAGUGGUGAUUGCAUUGGAAAAACCAGAAAAAUUCGCAUGAAUUUUCACAGUUUUGGCAGAUAAAAGCACACAUUCCAUUCCAUUAUAUUUUUACUCGCUUUUCUGUUUCAUUCUGGAUGGAAACAGUGGGAAAAAAACACUUCGAAAAUUGUAUGAAAACGGUUGCUGUUUAGAAGAGAACAGUGGGCAAAUUGUUCGUAUAUUUUAAGCAUCUGAGGCUAAGAGUGAAUUGGUACUGAAGGGAAACGGGUGCGCUCUAUUCGUUAUCUAUCAUCUGAACGGAGAAAGCUGUAUAUAUAUAUAUAUUCUAUGUGCGUGCGUGCUCGUUGGUUAAGAAUAUUGUGCGUAUCCAACUAGUUUAUCCGUUGUUUUGUUGCACGAAGCUGACAAAUGAAACAGAAUUGUAGUACAACCCAAAGUUCAGCCAAAGUUAAAAGAAACGGAAUACGCACGGAUACACGAACAAAAGGAAGAAGAGCAGCAGUGGCAGUAGUAACAACGGCCAAAACGGCGACGAUAUAGAACCAUUGAAAUAACAUCAUAUUUAUAUUGUGAGCAAACAAAGCAAAACGAAAAACCCCAAACGUACAUAAACACAGUUUAUAUACGCGAGGAGUGAGUGAGUUUGGAGUGUGUGUGUGAAAGAGAGAGAGAUAGAAAGAAAGAGAGUAUCGAACAGCGAAUAGAACGAACGGGCGCGCAUAACAAACACACACGAUACAACACAUCUAGGAGAAAUACAAAGCGUGUAUAUUCGGCGACGAAGCGAAAAACGGAAAAGGACAGGAUGAUGAUGAUGAUGUGGGUACGGAGUAGAUGGUAGAACCAAUUUUUAAUAUGUUUUGGCUUAUCUUUCGGCACGCUUUCGCAACGACAGUCAGCAUUUGUUCAACACUGUGUGUGGAAUGUACGGUGUGUAUGUUGCGCAUUCCAAAACGAAUAUAAAAAGAAAAACACAAACGAUCCCAAACCAUCGUUCAUAAACAUCAAGCAAUUAUCUAUUCGAUAUCAGAAAGUGUGUAUGUGUGUGUGUGUGCGGCAACAGCGCUAAUAAACUGAAAAUAAAACCGAAACGAAGAAAAACAGCACAAUUUUGCGAAUUAAGAGGAAUAAAAGAAGUACAAGACUUUGUGGAAUAAAAACACCACUUACACAUUAGGAACUUGAAAGCUUGGCUCACACAUUUUCUUUUGCUAUUAUCUAUAUAUAGCUCUUCUUCUAUUUUCUGUGCGUGUCGACUAUUUGGCUGUCUUUUCCAGCAUCCACUUUAUGCGGUGUUGUGUGCGUGUGUAUUCUAUACGUUUGCCUUCAGUCUCUUGCAAGUCAUUUGUUUUCUAAUUCAUAUUUUCUGAAGUAAACGUUGAAGCAGCAACGAUAUUACCAAAACCAUAUAAUAAAUUAGUGAAAACCUACACGAGUUUCAACAGCAUCGUACAACUUGAAAACAGAAGCUAUAAAAAUCUAGCACCGAAAGCAACAUUUCAUGAAAUUUAAAAGUUCACCAGCAACAUAGUUUAUAUGUUCAGCACCCGAACGAAGAAUGCUUUUUUUGUGUUGGCAUGUCACGAGUAUUUGGCAAUUUCGUCAUUGGAGGAAUAACACAUUGACAAAAUCUGACUGGUAAAAGAGAAAAAUUGAAACGUCAAAACGGAAAGACGUAACAUUCCGCAUCGAUUAUUUAAAUCGUUUAUAGAAAUUUCUGUUGCGGAAAUUCAACCAAAAUCAAAUGCAAAUUUAAAAUGCAACCGACAUUGAUAAGUCGUUAAAGUAAACACACUGCAUCGCAAAUUCUAUCGCCGUAAGCUAUCUGUUAUAUAACUCGGAAAUAAACAUAAAAAAA